rnacentral:lncRNA from 1 species
CUCGAACUCCUGACCUCAAGUGAUCUACCCGCCUUGGCCUAACAAAGUGCUGGGGUUACAGACAUGAGCCACCGCGCCUGGCCUCAUGUCACUUUUAACUAAAAGAAAAAAAAAAAAAGAAGUAGAAGGUAUCAAAAUAAAGCAUUUCCAUUUUGCUGCGUUUGCUUCUGGAGAAGUUUAUUGAUGUCUUAGGUUGUGUCCUUUGAUGCUCUUUGUCUUCAUUCCUUAGCUUGCUUAAGGCCUGUAGCCCUGCCAUCUGCAUAGGAGGUGGCUCUCUCUUGUUCUCAGUCCCCAAGCGGGUUUACAAGGCAUCUGGAGGAACACCAGGAAGGGAAUGAGGAAAGAGUGGUCAUGGUGUCUGGAGUCCUGGGCAUGUUCCAAGGCCAGGCUGCUAGGCCUGUGUCUGGGCUUCUUUUUGGCCCUCAUGAGGAUGAGCUGGAUGGGUGGUUAUGGUGCAGCCUGCAGGAGGGGGCUCCAAGCUGCCUCUGGUGUUUUCUGUCCUCUCAGGCUAACCCUGGUGAAGUGAUGGGGACAGCCUGGCUGUGAGACCCCCUUUUCCUUCCCUGUCCUUUGGUGAGAGGACAUUGGUGAUCUUCACCAAGGCAGGCCUGCCGGAUGCCCAUUCAUUUGGGUCCUCAUGGUGGGGCAUAUCAGGAUGCUACAUCUCAGUGCAAUCUGCAGAUGCCUUUCCAGGAUGACAUCUCUCCAGCUCUUUCCCUCCACCUUGCUUUCCUGGUGGAACGCUGUCCCUACACAGCUGUGCUCCAUCUGGCCCAGGUUCCCACAUGAUGAGCAGGGGUUCUCCCUAGAGCUUGGCAGAUGGAAAGUGCUUGAGUGGGUGCUGAGUGCCUAGGGAACGGUCUGUUUCAUGUCGUUUCAGCUGUGUUGGGAGUGGAAGAGGAGGACGUGCCUGACAUCGACAUACACCACUGCCCAAACUAUGAGAAAACCCAUGUGAAGUCCACCUGAUGCCCAGCUUCGUGGAGCCACCUGACAUCAUGAAGAAACUGCCCUGGGUAGAAAACUACUGGCUAGAGGAUAUAUUGCUGGCCAAGCCCAAAGUGACCCAGUACUGCCUGAUCUGCAUGAAGGAAAGCUACACCAACUUCCACAUCGACUUGGGGCACCUCCGCCUGGUACCACGUGUUCAAGGUCGACAAAUGCUACAAGUGCAUCAUCAAGCAGGGCCAGAGCCUCUUCAUUCCCUCAGGCACUGACAGAACUCUCAUGGGCCCCAAGGUGUGCAGCCACCCAGGGGCAAUUGUCGCCUGGUCCACCUCAGCUAUACAGGGCCCUGUGGGGAAGCCUGAACUGGCGUGCCUGGGACCUGGAUCCACCCCCAGCAUUACCUGCUUGAUGGUCAGUGCACUGAAAGCGGCUAUUUGGUGGCUUCCAGAGCAUAUGAAGUGUAAAGGAUG